GAAUUUGAUUUUUAUUGUUUUCUUUCAGAGUUGAUUUACAUUGCUUUCUCUGGUGUAGAAGCUAUGUAGUAUUAAUGAGGAGGUUACAUUUAUCGUUGUACCAUUAUUGACUAGCAUUUAAAUUUAAUGAAUUUAAUGUGUGUUGAUCUCUAACCCUUUUUUUCUUUCCCCUACUUCACGCUCUACACGUUUUCUAACUAUUCGAUUUCUUACGUACCCUUACCAUAUUUUUGUCACAUUUAACUUUCUAUUUAAUUUUACAUCUUUAUGACAUUAAAUUUAUACAUCCUCCUUCUUCA
rnacentral:lncRNA from 1 species